UUCGCCGCGUGCUGCAUCCGCAACGAAACGCACGGGGGAACUGAAAACCGCAAGGUCUCUCUCCCGAGAGAGGGACGAUCCGUUAACGCGGAAAUCGCCGCUCGUGGGCGUCGAAGUUCGUAUUCAUCGCGCGGUCGAAUCGUUAACGAGCGGAUUUGCGACGUACAUCGACUAUCCGUAUGCGUAUACGCGCCAAACGAAAGUGAAAAUGUAUUUCAUUCGGGAUAACAGAGAGAGAGAGAGGGUGGGGGAGAGAGAAAGAGAGAGAGAAAGAGAGAGAAGGAGAAAUCAUACUGGAACGAUGCUGACCAAUUGAGAGACUCCGACAGAUGCUUCGACUCAAUUUGCAAAAACCCGUACGUCCAUCUCGUCGCCGACAUUCUAGACAACAACUUCAUCACUUUUAAUUACUCGUCACCUCCUUAGCUUCUCUCAGACGGACGCAUGUAAUUAGAGGUAGCCCGACGACCGAUUUCAAACAGGAAAGAAUUUUUCUACUAAAAACGCAACGUUGCCGUUGAGUCAACUUCUCUACGAGUCAAUGCGCGUAACGCUGUGACAAAGGACCGACAAACGAUAUAUUAA
rnacentral:lncRNA from 1 species